AAGUAACACUAAUGAGCAAACCUGUCUCUGGAUUUCUGCUGCCUUACACAGCUUGAGUCCCCACAGCCCAGAGUUUCAGACCUGUAUCUUGUCCCAGAAGAUACAUCUUCCUGGGUAGGAGCUGGCAAUUUGCUCUCCUAAAUAACAGUGCACGACAUUAAGUCAGGGAGUGGGAUGCCCUUGAGAAGGUUCAAAUCCUCAGUGUCUAGCCUUCAGGCUCUGUAGAAUUGCAUCUUGCCUUCACUGUCCCUGAGGGGCUCAGCCAGCAACUCAAAGGGUCAGCAAGACCAAGAUCAUGAAAGCAGGAGCAUGACUCCAUAGCCAGGAAUGUUCAUCUUGGGCCAGAGAAACCUGGAAACAAGUCCUGGGUCCCACUCCAACCUUUGCCUCAAGUUUCCUGUGAGGUCUCAAUACUGGACCUUUGGAAGUGCCAUGAGCCUGGUUACGCUUUGCUUAGCACAUCUGGGGCCAGGCUUCCAAAGGUACCACAGACUAAAGGAGUCUUAAGAAAGGGUCUCAGUGAGGAUAGUAACAUGGAGUGCCUAACAUGAAUAACUUCUUGGGCAAAAGCACCUUGAAACUGAGCAUAUCAUGGCAGUAGGGUGCAACUGGAGAAGAAAGUUGAUAUUUUGAGAGAUUUUAAGACCUAUCGAGUCAGAAUAAAAAAGCCCAGGAAGGGCCCUGAU